CGCUUCUCUGCUCCGCUCCGGCUAGAUUUUUUUAUUUGAUCCUUUUUAGGUUCUUCAAAUUGUUGUCUUUCAUUUUGCAGAUAUAAGGGAAAGCAUGGUUGAAAGGCGCUACUCCUCUAUUUUGAAUACAUAGCUAGGGUAUAGUACCUACAUUUUUUGCUCGAUCAUGCACCUGUUGUAAUCGGCACAGUCUAGCAGUAUCAAGCAUGGAUGUUUGACCAUCUCGCUUUGGAUGACACAUCAAAGCCUUUGGGUCAAGGAUCUUCUAUUGGAGCUUCUUUAGCUGUUCCCUUGGUUGUUCCAUCUGAGAGUACCAUACUGAGAGUACCAUACAACGAAAUUAUCACUAGCAUGGGAAACCCAGGAAGUAAAAUCAUCAAGUGGGUGUACGUACCGCAGAAGCAUUACAUACUACGGAACCCAAGGGAACGUUGCAUCAAGACAAAAUGGUAGUGAAGUGGAUGUUUAAGUGAAGGAUAAGCUACUAUGAUGGGAACUUAUGGCCGGUUGAUACAAGCUUUGGAUAAUAACCACGGGCAAGAAGAAAAACACAUCAUGUGUGUACGUGUAUAUAUAUCUUAUCAGAUGGGGACGACAUGGAUGGCAUUUUAGAAAUCAUUAUUGCAUUACUGAAGCUCAAAAGAAUCACAACUCAGUCAAAUUUAUUCCGUAAAGGUAAUAAAAGUUUAUUUUUUUUGUGGAUAUAAAUCCCAAAUUUUUCAGUAGUUUUUAGGGUCAUCAUCAUAUUGAAUGUCUAUUAGUUUUUUAGUAAUAUUAUUCUUAAUGAAAUAAAUUUUAAAAUAUGCAUCUAAUGUUUCAU